rnacentral:rRNA from 1 species
UACGGGGGGGGGCAAGCGUUUGUUCGGAAUUACUGGGCGUAAAGGGCUCGUAGGUGGCCAACUAAGUCAGACGUGAAAUCCCUCGGCUUAACCGGGGAACUGCAUCUGAUACUGGAUGGCUUGAGUUUGGGAGAGGGAUGCGGAAUUCCAGGUGUAGCGGUGAAAUGCGUAGAUAUCUGGAGGAACACCGGUGGCGAAGGCGGCAUCCUGGACCAACACUGACACUGAGGAGCGAAAGCCAGGGGAGCAAACGGG